AAACCCUGAGGCAGCAACGCCGCGUGAGGGAUGACGGCCUUCGGGUUGUAAACCUCUUUUCUCAGGGACGAUGAUGACGGUACCUGAGGAAUAAGCCACGGCUAACUACGUGCCAGCAGCCGCGGUAAUACGUAGGUGGCAAGCGUUGUCCGGAUUUACUGGGCGUAAAGAGCGCGCAGGCGGCCAGGUCAGUCGAAUGUGAAAGCCCCCGGCUCAACUGGGGAGGGUCAUUCGAUACUGCCUGGCUUGAAGAUAGGAGAGGGAAGCGGAAUUUCAGGUGUAGUGGUGAAAUGCGUAGAUAUCUGAAGGAACACCAGUGGCGAAGGCGGCUUUCUGGCCUAUUCUUGACGCUGAGGCGCGAAAGCUAGGGGAGCGAACGGGAUUAGAUACCCCGGUAGUCCUAGCCGUAAACGAUGAACACUAGAUGUUGGUGGUAUCAACCCCGCCAGUGUCGUAGCUAACGCAUUAAGUGUUCCGCCUGGGGAGUACGGCCGCAAGGCUA
rnacentral:rRNA from 1 species